CUUCUGAACACAUCCCUAAUUGUGUGCAGGUAUCCACCCUGCUCUCUUGCAAGACAAGUGCCUCCAAGGAUGCUGCUUCUACCAUCAGCACUGGCAAGGAGAACCCGAUUGGUUUAAGUGUAAUCUCAUCAUGCUGGCUGGUGAUUGGUUCAAGAAUGGGCAUGUGGUCCUUUGUGUUUCAUUGCUGGCCAUUGAGACAUAAAGAGAGUUUGUGGGUAGCCAUGGAGACUGUUCUUAUUUGCUUUUAAGAGAUGUUGAAUGUCACUGUCUUUCCCUCUAUGGAUGGAAAUAGAGAAGUAUGUAGCUCCAAAUUCUUCUAGUGACAAUUAUAUAACUGUGAGAAAACAAACCAAAACAAAAUACCCUCCUAGCAUUACAAGGAGCGAUAAAAAGAAGCUAAUGCUUGAUCACGUGCUGGACUGCAUGGAUCAACAAACUCUGGAACCUGCUUUGUCUCUGAACUUUCUGUUAUGGAUGACGCUGUGUUUCAGAGGAAUUCAUAAGCAGAAUUGAAUUUGUUUUAGUUAACUCCUUAUUUGAUUGGAAUAUUGUCGACUUAACAAAAUAGUAGAAAGAGCAUUGGGCUGAAGUGAGAAGAUUUGAAUUCUAGUCCAAAAUCUGUUACUAACCAGCUCUUUGACCCUGAGAAGUCAUUUGACUUGAAUUAUAGUCUUUUUCUUAUAUGGGAAAGGUGGAGUAUACUCAGAGUCUCUCCUAAGUGCUAAGAUUCUGUGAUUCUAUGAAAUCAGACCAUCAGAGAGGAAUACUGCAGUGUUCUCCUGCAUGGGUUGUAAAUGAGAAAAAAGAAAGAAGGAGAGCAAAAUGACUUAAAGACAUUUUCAAGAAAAAAAGAGGAGAGAAGUCACUGAAAUGGAAAAAUAAACAUAUUAUAUAACUAUUUAUUGCACUAUGCAAUAAAAACAUCUUCAGCAACAGCCACACAAGUGCGGGUAGAGGGUCUGCUUUGAAGAGAGAAAAAAGGCUGCUGCAGAAAAAACAAACCUCAAUUCAUAAUUGGAGCUUUUGUUCUUUCUGGAUUGUUUUGUGAAGAACAUGCUGCCAAAAAACAUUUUUCUUCUGUAACCGCUUCUUUUGAAACUCCAUUCUUUUUUAUUUCAAGGAUGUUUAUUAUCUACUCAUUUCUUUUUAUUUAUUUUUGAAUCAUAUACCCCAAUGUCUAGAUGACUGGGACCACUAGGUUUCAUAUUUCCCAGAUGAGAUUAGUUGUACAGUUCAUUUUGCAGGUUUAUUCAGAGCAUUUCAAUGGCAUUUCACCUACAGUUCACCUAUAUUGAGUCCUAAGAAAUUGAAGGUGUUUCUUGAUAGUUCUCCUGCUCCAUCUUCUUCCAGGGGAUUGAUUUGGCUUCUUAUGUUUUUGUAUUUGGUUGCUCAUUAGAGAUAAGCCUGAUUAUUUGGCAUUGUGUAUUUUCUCUGUUUUAAAAAGGGAAAAUACAACAUGUUAUUAAUUAUUAUGAUAUAAUAAAAAAUGGAG
rnacentral:lncRNA from 1 species